GUCCCCUUAGUUAAAUGGAGAUAACGAGCCCCUCCUAAGGGCUAGUUGCAGGUUCGAUUCCUGCAGGGGACGCCA
rnacentral:tRNA from 1 species